CCCGAGUCCGAUUACCCCCCGGGCAUCAGCUGUUCCUGGCACAUCAUCGCGCCCCCGGACCAGGGUCCCAUGGGUGUGUGUGGUCCUCCGUGCUGUGGUGUGAACGCCUUCAGGAAAGGGGCCCAGGGGACGCGGGAGGUGGGAGUGGGAGCUGCUGCAGGCACCCAGUAGAAAAUGAGGUGCAGGCGCCCAGGGGUGUCCCGCCGCGCAGCCCCCGCCUCCGCCCGCCGCCAGGUCAUCGCGCUGACCUUCGAGAAGUUUGACCUGGAGCCGGACACCUACUGCCGCUACGACUCCGUCAGCGUGUUCAACGGAGCCGUGAGCGACGACUCCCGGAGGCUGGGGAAGUUCUGCGGCGACGCAGUCCCGGGUUCCAUCUCCUCCGAAGGGAAUGAACUCCUUGUCCAGUUCGUCUCAGAUCUCAGUGUCACCGCUGACGGCUUCUCAGCCUCCUACAAGACCCUGCCGCGGGGCACUGCCAAAGGGCAAGGGCCCAGCCCCAAACCGGGAACUGAGCCCAAAGUCAAGCUGCCCCCCAAGUCCCAACCUCCGGAGAAAACAGAGGAAACUCCUUCAGCCCCUGAUGCACCCACCUGCCCAAAGCAGUGCCGCCGGACAGGCACCUUGCAGAGCAACUUCUGUGCCAGCAGCCUGGUGGUGACUGCGACAGUGAAGUCCAUGGUUCGGGAGCCAGGGGAGGGCCUCGCCGUCACUGUCAGUCUUAUUGGUGCUUAUAAAACUGGAGGACUGGACCUGCCUUCU
rnacentral:sRNA from 1 species